UUUGGCAUACCAGUGAUGGUCUCAGAAAAUGUUUUUGCAAAAGUCAAGAUGACAACAGGCAGUGCUAAGUAAUGAGGAAUUAAAGGUUGACUGGUGAUGAGCAGCAUACAUCAUGCCAAGAUCAUAACCAAAUUGUUUUCUAGGAAGUUAGCGAACUAGGCAACAGAAGGUGAAAAGAAUCCCUUAUUGUGACAUUGUGAAACUCUCCAUGAUU
rnacentral:lncRNA from 1 species